CUGCAGCCAUUGCCAUGGCUAUGGAUUGUCCUUUUCUUUGUUUCUUUCUGCUGCGUGGGCGGUAUUACCUGGGGUUUGUGGUGCUUUGUUUAUUGUGAGCAGAUGACAAUGAUCUCCAAUUCAGAGAACAGAAGAUUCGCUGUUAAAGAGAUACAUAGAGAUAAAACAGUUGUCAUCAAGAAUGAAAAACUCUAGAUGACCAGGUUGUCUGUGUGGUAGUUGUUUGAGUUCUGUCAGGGCAGACAACCCCGGUGAAUCGAAAAAAGGGGGGCUGGACAAUGUGAGAGCCUAAUAUUCAAUUCCCCAAGCCCCCUUACAACAGUCAAGACUUAACACUUUUAAGUGAAUACAUUAGGAUCAGCGCC
rnacentral:sRNA from 1 species